GACGAACGCUGGCGGCGUGCUUAACACAUGCAAGUCGAACGGAAAGGCCCUGCUUUUGUGGGGUGCUCGAGUGGCGAACGGGUGAGUAACACGUGAGUAACCUGCCCUUGACUUUGGGAUAACUUCAGGAAACUGGGGCUAAUACCGGAUAGGAGCUCCUGCUGCAUGGUGGGGGUUGGAAAGUCUCGGCGGUUGGGGAUGGACUCGCGGCUUAUCAGCUUGUUGGUGGGGUAGUGGCUUACCAAGGCUUUGACGGGUAGCCGGCCUGAGAGGGUGACCGGCCACAUUGGGCCUGCGAUACGGCCCAGACUCCUACGGGAGGCAGCAGUGGGGAAUAUUGCACAAUGGGCGGAAGCCUGAUGCAGCAACGCCGCGUGCGGGAUGACGGCCUUCGGGUUGUAAACCGCUUUCGCCUGUGACGAAGCGUGAGUGACGGUAAUGGGUAAAGAAGCACCGGCUAACUACGUG
rnacentral:rRNA from 1 species